AUUGAACGCUGGCGGCAGGCUUAACACAUGCAAGUCGAGCGGAGAUGAGGUGCUUGCACCUUAUCUUAGCGGCGGACGGGUGAGUAAUGCUUAGGAAUCUGCCUAUUAGUGGGGGACAACAUUCCGAAAGGAAUGCUAAUACCGCAUACGUCCUACGGGAGAAAGCAGGGGAUCUUCGGACCUUGCGCUAAUGGAUGAGCCUAAGUCGGAUUAGCUAGUUGGUGGGGUAAAGGCCUACCAAGGCGACGAUCUGUAGCGGGUCUGAGAGGAUGAACCGCCACACUGGGACUGAGACACGGCCCAGACUCCUACGGGAGGCAGCAGUGGGGAAUAUUGGACAAUGGGGGAAACCCUGAUCCAGCCAUGCCGCGUGUGUGAAGAAGGCCUUAUGGUUGUAAAGCACUUUAAGCGAGGAGGAGGCUACUGAGACUAAUACUCUUGGAUAGUGGACGUUACUCGCAGAAUAAGCACCGGCUAACUCUGUGCCAGCAGCCGCGGUAAUAC
rnacentral:rRNA from 1 species